CUGGCUCUCAAGUGUGAAGCAAGUACAUUUUUUUAAUUUCAGAGAAGCAUAUGCAUACACCACCUAGAAAUGCCAAAAAUAUCAGGAAUAGGCAGUGGGGAAACUGAGGGAACACCAUGCAGGAAACAGAAACAAGAGCUGAGAAUGUGCAUCUUUUAGCUACUGUAACUUAACAUAAAAGGUGUAUCUACAUACCUCAACAAAAAGUACCCUCUAGUAUUAGAAAUUAAAGGAAAUACAGAAGGAAAUUUUGCUUUAUUUUUGAAUGAAUUUCUCACUUGCAGGACUACCCAGGAAGUAACUCCAAAUUAUGUUUAAGAACACGUGACAACAUUUGAAUGUCUAACCUAGCAGAUCCCUGGCUUCCUCAUUUUCAUCUAUGGAACAAUAUGCCUGUUUGGCAAGAUAUAAAACUGGCUUCUCCUUGAAGGUUAUCCUAUCUUAAGACGUGUUGUCUUCUUUCUGAGGCAAUUAUAUGCUAGUAAGAAAUAGGAACUAGGAAGAAU